rnacentral:rRNA from 1 species
ACUCCUACGGGAGGCAGCAGUGGGGAAUCUUGGACAAUGGGCGCAAGCCUGAUCCAGCCAUGCCGCGUGAGUGAUGAAGGCCUUAGGGUCGUAAAGCUCUUUCGCCAGGGAUGAUAAUGACAGUACCUGGUAAAGAAACCCCGGCUAACUCCGUGCCAGCAGCCGCGGUAAUACGGAGGGGGUUAGCGUUGUUCGGAAUUACUGGGCGUAAAGCGCGCGUAGGCGGAUCGGAAAGUUGGGGGUGAAAUCCCGGGGCUCAACCCCGGAACUGCCUCCAAAACUAUCGGUCUAGAGUUCGAGAGAGGUGAGUGGAAUUCCGAGUGUAGAGGUGAAAUUCGUAGAUAUUCGGAGGAACACCAGUGGCGAAGGCGGCUCACUGGCUCGAUACUGACGCUGAGGUGCGAAAGUGUGGGGAGCAAACAGGAUUAGAUACCCUGGUAGGCGUAG